rnacentral:rRNA from 1 species
AUACGUAGGUGGCAAGCGUUGUCCGGAUUUAUUGGGCGUAAAGCGAGCGCAGGCGGUUUCUUAAGUCUGGUGUGAAAGCCCCCGGCUCAACCGGGGAGGGUCAUUGGAAACUGGGAAACUUGAGUGCAGAAGAGGAGAGUGGAAUUCCAUGUGUAGCGGUGAAAUGCGUAGAUAUAUGGAAGAACACCAGUGGCGAAGGCGGCUCUCUGGUCUGUAACUGACGCUGAGGCUACGAAAGCGUGGGGAGC